AGUGAACGCUGGCGGUAGGCCUAACACAUGCAAGUCGAACGGCAGCACAGUAAGAGCUUGCUCUUACGGGUGGCGAGUGGCGGACGGGUGCGGAAUACAUCGGAAUCUACUUUUUCGUGGGGGAUAACGUCGGGAAACUUACGCUAAUACCGCAUACGACCUACGGGUGAAAUCUGGGGAUCUUCGGACCUUGCCCGAUUGUAUGAGCCGAUGUCGGAUUAGCUAGUUGGCGGGGUAAAGGCCCACCAAGGCGACGAUCCGUAGCUGGUCUGAGAGGAUGAUCAGCCACACUGGAACUGAGACACGGUCCAGACUCCUACGGGAGGCAGCAGUGGGGAAUAUUGGACAAUGGGCGCAAGCCUGAUCCAGCCAUACCGCGUGGGUGAAGAAGGCCUUCGGGUUGUAAAGCCCUUUUGUUGGGAAAGAAAAGCAGCAGGUUAAUACCCCGCUGUUCUGACGGUACCCAAAGAAUAAGCACCGGCUAACUUCGUG
rnacentral:rRNA from 1 species